UACAGAGGGUGCGAGCGUUAAUCGGAAUUACUGGGCGUAAAGCGCGCGUAGGCGGCUUUGCAAGUCGAUUGUGAAAUCCCCAGGCUUAACCUGGGAACUGCAUUCGAGACUGCAUAGCUAGAGUAUGGGAGAGGGAAGUGGAAUUUCAGGUGUAGCGGUGAAAUGCGUAGAUAUCUGAAGGAACAUCAGUGGCGAAAGCGACUUCCUGGACCAAUACUGACGCUCAUGUGCGAAAAGCGUGGGGGAGCAAACAGG
rnacentral:rRNA from 1 species